rnacentral:tmRNA from 1 species
GGGGGCGACCGGCUUCGACCGGGCAGGUUGAGGCCUGGGUGGCGUGCCGAGGUGGUCAGGAGGCCUCGCUAAACACCUGACGCAACCUUUAGAUGCCAAUGAUGGCUAUCGCCUGGCUGCCUAACCACUAGUCAGCCCGUCGGCUCCGCGACGCCUGCUGGCGGACGCCGGCGACGACUCGCAGGCUGGCCCGUGCGCGACGACGGCUUCGGCCGGCGUCGGCCUGGCGACGCACGGGCGAGAAAUAGCCGGGCUCAGCCCGCCGAUGACCUGUCGGCCGGUCUGCGGCGGGCCGAGAAACAAAUCGACCGGACACGCACGUAGAGGCUCAGGCUGAAAUGCACCGGGACGGGGGUUCGAUUCCCCCCGCCUCCAUUU